rnacentral:tRNA from 1 species
GGGGUUGUGGCUCAGUAGUAGAGUGCUUGCCUUGCAUGCAUGAGGCACUGGGUUCAAUCCUCAGCACCACA